UUUUUUUUGAACAAUACUUGAGAGUAUCCUAUUAGCGAUAUCGCGGGGGCCAAGCUAAAAGGGGGGAGGGGGGAGGAAAAAAUUCAGGAAGCUGAAACCCCUCUUGGAGUUUUACUGGAAGAAAAAAAACGGGUCUGAGAGAGUCCUCCUUUUCAUCAUCGUCAAGCAUCACUCAUUUACUACCUUGACAUUCCGGGCUCUGAUUGACAUCUGGAGUGGCAAAAAGCCAUGAAACGCGAUAGUUGGGCUGCAUGUGGGCUGCUGACGGGCCUCUUGUAACCUCCAGUUCAGGGGCUUGACAAUUUUUUUCUUCUUUUUCUUUUCUUUCUUUUUUUUCCAACUGAGAGGAAGAGAAGAGAAAGAGGAAGAAAGGAGUAUCGAGGAGGAGGGGAGGGGGGAGGAGGAGGAAGAAGAAAAAAGAAGAAAUAUCACAGGAAAAAAAAAACCUUUUCAUUGUCUUUCCUGGGCUUCCCCUCCUAAAAAUUAACAGUGGAGAAUUGGGAGAAGUCUCCUUGGUUUGGGGAAAAAAAGAGGAAUCUUCAGCCUAGAUCACUUUCUUAUCCGGACUAGGAUAUUAAAUAGACGACACAUCCAGGAGUUUAUUGGGGCGCAGACCGAUGGCGCAAAGGAUCCCUUUACGGAGGGAUGGACGGAGUAGGGGCUCCCGCUUCCAUGUAUGAGACCCUGAAGCGCCUCGGCCGAUCCCUCCAGUUUACCACCUGAACCACGGGCCGCCGCUUCACGCCACGCAGCACUACCGCACCCAAAUGUCAUGCCGGCCAGCAUGGGAUCCGCUAUCAACGAAUUGAAGCGAUCUAUGAUACAAGCAAUACAAGUACUAAGGUUUCAUCUUUUGGAGUUAGAAAAGGUCCACGAACUGUGUGCUAACUUCUGCCACUGGUACCUUAGCUGUUUGAAGGGAAAAUGCCCAUUGAUCUUGCCAUUGAUGAAAGGGACGGCAGCUCCAAGUCAGACCACGAACUGUCAGGCUCCUCCACAAAUCUCGCUGACCAUGUACAUCUUGGAGCCUUUGGCGUUCUUUUAAAGCCAAAGGGUAAGACGGGUAAAACGGGGUAAAACAUUUUUUCAAAAACUUGUUUUAACAUGUAGUUCCACUAAUUUAGUUUUCUUGUUUGUUUUAAUGAUUUGGUCUCUUCAGGGGCUUUUCUCUACUUCUCUCACUACUGUUAUCAUACACUUCAUCUCCCUUUUCUUGGAUCCCUCCUUAUUUAUGCUGAGAGCCAAAAUAAUAAUAAUAAUGAUAAUAAUAAUAACAACAAAACACAGAAAACAAACCAGGGAGUUGAUAGAAUGAUUUGUUCUCUUAAUGUGUAAAGUUUCCUGGAUUUGGUGACUUGGGUGUUAGCAAAUUCUUUCUUUUGAUAUCAUGUCCAUUGUUUGUUUCUGGUUUCUCAACUCUGUAUACAUAAUCAGUGCAGCAGGGAUAGAAAGAGGCAAGAUAGCAGGACAAGACCUGGGAGGGGGGUGGCAGAAGGAGAGAAUUAGGGGAGAGGGAGUGAGGACUGAUUUCCCAGUCUCUCCCAGAGAUGAAAAUCCUGAGAAUUAUUGGCAAUUUUGCACUGCAUUAGAAAUAAAAGGAGUGAAUGAACACAUUACAAUUCUCAGGGCUUUUGCUCUAUAGAAACUUAUUGUCAGAAUAUAGACUUAUUGCCAAGUGCCUGAAGCAUCUUCACAAUAAAAGACAGUAACCUUGAUGAACCAAUUAUUAACAAUGUAUUACAGAAAGCUGAAGGGAAUUAUGAUGGAGUAACCAUAGGUUAGUGGUUGAGUUUUAACACUUUAACAGUUGGUGAAUGAGGACGGAGAGUAUAGUAAGGAAUGACUAUGUAUGUCAAGCCAGGAAAGGAGAUUUCUUUCUAUUCUCUCUGUUUUUAAUCCUAUUUUGGAACCGAUCUAGUGAGUCUGAUGCUUUAAAAAAAAAAAAGCAUAUGUAGUGAGACUGAAAAUUUGAAAAAGAAGCAAAGAGAAGAAAGAUUGCAGCUGGUAGGAAAGGCAAGAGUGGUGAGGUUAAAGAGAGGGUGUGAACAGCAGUUUAUUUAUAGGAACUCAGGCCUGGGGGUGGGGGACAGGGGGUCUGUACAUUGAGUUGAGCUCAGAGCCUAAACUCUUUUUAAUCCUAUUUUGGAACCGAUCUAGUGAGUCUGAUGCUUUAAAAAAAAAAAAAAAAGCAUAUGUAGUGAGACGGAAAAUUUGAAAAAGAAGCAAAGAGAAGAAAGAUUGCAGCUGGUAGGAAAGGCAAGAGUGGUGAGGUUAAAGAGAG
rnacentral:lncRNA from 1 species